rnacentral:tRNA from 1 species
CCCUGAUAGUUCAGGCAGUAAAGAAUCUGCCUGAAAUGCAGGAGACCCAGGUUCAAUCCCUGGGUCAGGAA